rnacentral:rRNA from 1 species
CCUACGGUGGGCUGCAGUGAGGAAUAUUGGUCAAUGGACGAGAGUCUGAACCAGCCAAGUAGCGUGAAGGAUGACUGCCCUACGGGUUGUAAACUUCUUUUAUAAAGGAAUAAAGUGAGGCACGUGUGCCUUUUUGUAUGUACUUUAUGAAUAAGGAUCGGCUAACUCCGUGCCAGCAGCCGCGGUAAUACGGAGGAUCCGAGCGUUAUCCGGAUUUAUUGGGUUUAAAGGGAGCGUAGAUGGGUUGUUAAGUCAGUUGUGAAAGUUUGCGGCUCAACCGUAAAAUUGCAAUUGAUACUGGCAGCCUUGAGUACAGUUGAGGUAGACGGAAUUCGUGGUGUAGCGGUGAAAUGCAUAGAUAUCACGCAGAACUCCGAUUGCGAAGGCAGCAUACCGGCGCCCAACUGACGCUGAAGCACGAAAGCGUGGGUAUCGAACAGGAUUAGAUACCCCGGUAGUC